rnacentral:RNase_P_RNA from 1 species
AGACAAACGCUGGUAUUUUAAAUAUUAGAGGAAAGUCCAUGCUCACACAGUCUGUGAUGAUUGUAGUGUUCGUGCUUAGGGAAAAAAUAACCUAAGGUAGCUAUGCUAACGGCGGAGAUGAUCUAAGUCUUAUGAUAUGAUCUAUUCCAUAAAGUGCCACAGAAACGAUGCUUUGGGAAACUGAAGAAUGAAACGAGGUAAACCCCGCGAGUGAGAAAUCCAAAUUUGGUAGGAGAGCUUUAACUGAGAAAAUGAACGAGGUUAAGGACCAGUAAUGGUAGAUAAAUGUUUGUCGCCUGGAAACAGGAACAGAACAUGGCUUAUU